GCUUUGGAAGCCCUUGGGGAAAGGUUGAAUUCAACACACAAGACUUGGGAUGCGUAAGACUCUUUGCCAAGUGUCCGCAAAUUCAUCUGAGUAACAAAUUAUAGCAACAGUGUAGAGAAAGGUCUGGAACUUUGCAAAGGUACAAGCCAAUUAUGAUGUGGCACGCUAUGAAAAUAUUUUCUCUGUGCUCUGGGUUCUGGAGCAACUUCUCCAAAAGGAAAACAAAGAAGACAACAGUUCGAGAAUGGGGCAUGAGGAUCAGGAAAUCAAGACAUUUCUUCAGAAGCAUGAUGAAACUGUUUUCAAACUCUCUGAUGCAUUUCCUUUAUUUACUUUUUAUUUGUGGAGACUGGGCAUUCUCUUGAACUCAGUAGAAAUAGGAACUGUUGGAAAUAACUCACUUCCUUAGCAGUUUGACAAAUAAUCAGAAGCAUACUAAAGUUUAAUAUAUGAAGAUCUUGUGCUUAAAUGUUUUCAAGAAUUUUUUUUUUCAAGAAUAUUUUUAAAUGAGCAUUUUAAAUGGAUCCCUAAAGACAAUCAUUAAUUGAAUUCAAUAAUCUUAAUUGAAUUCAAUAAUCUUAAACUAUGUAUAAAAAGAUUAUGAGUCGUAUUUCUGUACUAAAAUCAGCCAGUUUCAGUUGAGAAUGCCCCGCCUUAGUCCUAUGGAACUGUGUGUUGCAAUAUGUUACUCAAUGCAGUCUAGUUCUGUUACUCUCUAAAAUGGACCAUAAAUUGUCUUUCUUAUUAAAAAAUUGCAUUUUAAAAGAUUUUCAUUUACUAGGUGCUAAAAGGUAACAGAAGAUAUCUUAUGUUUUGUUACUUUACCAACUCAGCAUUUAAAAUAAGUGGUUAUAAAUAAGAUUCUUUCAAAAUUUUUUCUUAGUGUCACUUACUCUCUAUUGUCUUAGAUGGGAUUCAUGUAGAAACAGAAAAGUUCUUAGCAUUUGUAAAGCUAAUGGCCUUUAAUUUCAUAUAAUCAACAUAUUGUCAAGUCGUUUUGAAAGUACUAAUCAUUUUAAAUGUCCCAUUUGUUUUUCAACAAAUGUUUGUUUUGAUUCUGUUGAUUAUAUAAAAUAUUCCUGUUACUGUUCAAAUGUAGUUAUUACAUGUAGCUAAGUCAUUAAGGAUAUUUUCACAAAUUCCAGCAUCAGUCUAGAAAUAUACUUUAUGUUUAUUAAAGGUAUAUUUAUACUUAUUGAAAGUAUUGGGUGGAUUUCUCAGUUACACACUUUCAUUGACAUUGUCAGUUAUUCAAAUGAUAACCAACUAACUUAAUUAGCAUACGUUAUAUGCUUUCCUGUAGUGCAAUUUAGCAAAUACAGAUUUGCUUUAUUAAUUAUAUGUGAAAUUGUUUCACAAGUUAAUUACCUUUCCUGAAUGUCAUUGGUAUUUUAAAAAAUCAUUACCUGACACAUAUUUGUGGAGUUAUUUCUAUCUUUCUACAAAAGAUAAAACCUUUUUUAUGUAAUACUGAAACAAAAUCUAUCAGUCAACUUUGUUAUAUAACACAGAACCACUAAGUCUUAACGGUAUACAGCAAUAAAUGUUGCUUUCUCGA